UACGGGGGGGGCAAGCGUUGUUCGGAAUUACUGGGCGUAAAGGGCUCGUAGGUGGCCAACUAAGUCAGACGUGAAAUCCCCAGGCUCAACCUGGGAACUGCGUCUGAUACUGGAUGGCUUGAAUUCGGGAGAGGGAUGCAGAAUUCCAGGUGUAGCGGUGAAAUGCGUAGAUAUCUGGAGGAAUACCGGUGGCGAAGGCGGUGGUCUGGGCCGAUACUGACGCUGUAGAGCGAAAGCGUGGGGAGCGAACAGG
rnacentral:rRNA from 1 species